rnacentral:lncRNA from 1 species
AAUACAAAGUACCUGGAACAUAAAGUUUUACAAAUUCUAUAUCUUGUGCGUUGAUUUUAUUUUAAAUUGAUUUUCCAAAAUUCUCUUAAAGUUUUGAUCAACAUUGAUAAAUAUAUUUUGGGCUAACAACAUCAAAAUCAAAGCAUGAUAGCAGUUGAAUAUAUUUGUGGAUGGGUAUUCUAAACUUUAAAGUUGAAGGAAAAUGAUGUUUCAAUAAAAUUCCAACACCUCCACAAUUUCUUUCUUC